AGCAGCCGCGGUAAUUCCAGCUCCAAUAGCGUAUAUUAAAGUUGUUGCAGUUAAAAGCUCGUAGUUGAAUUUCGGGGUUAGUACGCUGGUCGUGCCUUCGGUACGUACUGGUGUUACUGAUUCCUACCUUCUGAAGAACCGUCAUGUCAUUAAUUUGGUGUGGCGGGGAAUCAGGACUGUUACUUUGAAAAAUUAGAGUGUUUAAAGCAGGCUCGCGCUUGAAUACAUUAGCAUGGAAUAAUGAAAUAGGACGUUUGAUCCUAUUUUGUUGGUUUCUAGGAUUGACGUAAUGAUUAAUAGGGAUAGUUGGGGGCAUUAGUAUUCAAUUGUCAGAGGUGAAAUUCUUGGAUUUAUUGAAGACUAACUACUGCGAAAGCAUUUGCCAAGGAUGUUUUCAUUAAUCAAGAACGAAAGUUAGGGAUCGAAGACGAUCAGAUACCGUCGUAGUCUUAACCAUAAACUAUAGCCGACUAGGGAUCGGAUGAUGUUUAAUUUUUAAUGUACUCUAUUCGGCGUCCGU
rnacentral:misc_RNA from 1 species